rnacentral:rRNA from 1 species
GACGAACGCUGGCGGCAGGCCUAACACAUGCAAGUCGAGCGCACCCUUCGGGGUGAGCGGCGGACGGGUGAGUAACGCGUGGGAACGUGCCCUUCUCUGCGGAAUAGCCUCGGGAAACUGAGAGUAAUACCGCAUACGCCCUUUGGGGGAAAGAUUUAUCGGAGAAGGAUCGGCCCGCGUUGGAUUAGGUAGUUGGUGGGGUAAUGGCCCACCAAGCCGACGAUCCAUAGCUGGUUUGAGAGGAUGAUCAGCCACACUGGGACUGAGACACGGCCCAGACUCCUACGGGAGGCAGCAGUGGGGAAUCUUAGACAAUGGGGGCAACCCUGAUCUAGCCAUGCCGCGUGAGUGAUGAAGGCCUUAGGGUUGUAAAGCUCUUUCAGCUGGGAAGAUAAUGACGGUACCAGCAGAAGAAGCCCCGGCUAACUCCGUG